ensembl:lncRNA
AGACUGAGUGACUAACACACACACACACACAUCAUUAACAGUAAAGAUGUAUUUUUACCAACUUAGCAUAGCUCAAACAGAAAGAGGAAACCACAACCCAGAAAAGGAUAUUUGCAGCACACCUACCCACAAAUCAUUAAGGAUAAAGAAAUUCUACAGAUCAGUGGAAGACCGACAACCAAAUAGAAAACACGAGCAAAGGACUUGAAGACUUGAAGGUUACAGCAGCAAAGUCUGGAUCCUCUUCAGCUUCUGCUGCUGUUUGCCUGGGGAGAAUGGAGGUCCACAGACUGGUGGUAUAUCCAGGGUGGCUGUACAUCUAGACGUCCGGGGCGGGCCGAGCUGGUCCAGGCCCAAGCACUCCCGCACAUCACUCAGAAUCCUUCUGUAUCUGUUUCAUGAUUGCACACCUGCCAUCCGGG